rnacentral:misc_RNA from 1 species
GGAAGUAAAGUCGUAACAAGGUCUCCGUAGGUGAACCUGCGGAGGGAUCAUUACAGAGUUCAUGCCCUACCGGGUAGAUCUCCCACCCUAUGUUAUUAUUACUUUGUUGCUUUGGCGGGCCGUUAGGCUCCGGCCCGACUACCGGCCCCGGCUGGUAAGCGCCCGCCAGAGGACCCAAAACCCUGAAUAUUAGUGUCGUCUGAGUACUAUAUAAUAGUUAAAACUUUCAACAACGGAUCUCUUGGUUCUG